GAUGAACGCUGGCGGCGUGCCUAAUACAUGCAAGUCGAGCGAACAGACGAGGAGCUUGCUCCUCUGACGUUAGCGGCGGACGGGUGAGUAACACGUGGAUAACCUACCUAUAAGACUGGGAUAACUUCGGGAAACCGGAGCUAAUACCGGAUAAUAUAUUGAACCGCAUGGUUCAAUAGUGAAAGACGGUUUUGCUGUCACUUAUAGAUGGUUCCGCGCCGCAUUAGCUAGUUGGUAAGGUAACGGCUUACCAAGGCGACGAUGCGUAGCCGACCUGAGAGGGUGAUCGGCCACACUGGAACUGAGACACGGUCCAGACUCCUACGGGAGGCAGCAGAAGGGAAUCUUCCGCAAUGGGCGAAAGCCUGACGGAGCAACGCCGCGUGAGUGAUGAAGGUCUUCGGAUCGUAAAACUCUGUUAUUAGGGAAGAACAAAUGUGUAAGUAACUAUGCACGUCUUGACGGUACCUAAUCAGAAAGCCACGGCUAACUACGUG
rnacentral:rRNA from 1 species